AAUAAGUUCAUUUUUUUUAAUUUUAGGUACAAUGUUUUGACUAUUCGUCUUGUUUGUAUUUUUUUGCGAUUAAUAUUUUUAUUAUUACUAGAUGAUAAAACAUGAAUAAUACUUUAUGCGUGACUAAUUUUUUUAUGUUUUUAUAUAAAAUUUUCUAAAUAAAAUGAAUGGUCAAACGUUGGAGAUAGAAAUUGAAAAAUGAAGUUAUU
rnacentral:pre_miRNA from 1 species